UUUCUUUGCCCUUACUUUUAACUUACCUUAUUUUCCCCAAAACGGUGGCGGGCGUUGAGACUCCCGGGAGCAUGUCCAGGUUCCCCGGCCUUAGGGUCUUCCCAGGCACUUGUUCUGCUUGUCCCUUGCCUUCCCCCACCCGUGAGGCCCAGCCUCAGCGUUGUACGGGGUGGUUCUGGGCCGGGUGGCGCAUCAGGGUCCCCCAGUGCCUGUGACCAGGCCCGCCCGCGCCACCUUACAGCACCACUGCCGGGCGUGCGGGCAGAUAUUCUGUGGAAAAUGUUCCUCCAAGUACUCCACCAUCCCCAAGUUUGGCAUCGAGAAGGAGGUGCGCGUGUGCGAGCCCUGCUACGAGCAGCUGAACAGGUGAGGCCCCGCCCCCCAUUGGGGCUGCAGGUGGGGCAGGCUCUCCAGGCUGGGUUUUCUGUCCCUCUUGGCCAUGGUGCCUGAGGCCUGCAGACCCCAGAGGACCCUCACAGCACAGCAGCUGGAAGGUCAAGGGAAACCCAGGGUGGCCGCGUGCCCUCGGGCCCUGCCCCACACUAGGGCAGGUGGGUGUGUGAGACAGGGCGCUGCGGCUCCAGGGACCGAGGCUGCCCCGACAAACCUGUUGCUUGGGUUUGGGUUUGGGUUCGUUUGCAUUUCAACUUUCGGAAUAAAACUUCCAGAAAAGUUGCAAGAGUAGCACAGAGAAGCUGCGGGGCCGCGGCCGGUGCCUCAGCGGUCGGUGUUUUGUCGCAGAGUUUACUCUGCCUCCCCUCUCCUGCGCGUGCGUGUGUUCAAACAGGUUUUAUCCUGAAUUUGUGUGAGUGCAGAUGUCAUGCCCUUUGGCACUCAGGUCUUCGCCUGUGAUCUCUGAGAGGCACAGUGCUCUCAUGGCCACAGCGGUCACUUGGGACUGCGCUGCCACCCAGUGCUGGCUUCUGCUCUGUGGUCCACGUUCCAUUUCUGCCAUGGUCCCAGCAGCGUCGCUGUGGGUCUGGCCUGGGUUGCGUGUGUUUUGUAUGUGGGCCGUGCUCCCUGCUUGGUUCCCUUUUCCUGGAACGUGUCACUGCCUCCCUGGCUCGCUCCGUGGACAUUUCUGGGAGGUCAGGCCGUGGCCACCUGGCCCCCUGUUCAGGUCUGAGGCUCCCAUCUGCUUAGGUUCGGGAAGUCCAGGAGUGAGGCCAUGCCCUCCUCAGGACAUCCCAUCCAAGCCAGCCAUGUCCGGUGAUGGGCCGCUGCCCGGAAAGUUCCUUUUCCUUCUUGUAACUGAGAAGAACUUGCCUUGAGCCACGUCAAGUCCCGUCCGUCGCAGCCACUGCCCACACGCGUGAGUCUGCUGUGACCCAGCGGCUCCAUGGCAGGGCAUCCCAACGCCAUUCCUGCCUUCACACACACUUGCUGCCGUUUCCCUGUGCUGGGGGCUGUGCAGGUCUGCCUCGGUGUGGACUUUUCUCUUAGAAAAGAGCCCCAGGUCGGCCGAGCACGGUGGCUCAUGCCUGUAAUCCCAGCACUUUGGGAGGCUGAGGCGGGCAGAUCACGAGGCCAAGAGAUCAAGACAAUCCUGGCCAACAUGGUGAAAUCCCGUCUCUACUUUUUAAGUAUUUUAUACAAAAAUUAGCGGGCUUGGUGGCAGAUGCCUGUAGUCCCAGCUACUCGGGAGGCUGAGGCAGGAAAAUCACUUGAACCUGAGAGGCGGAGAUUGCAGUGAGCCAAGAUCGCACCACUGCACUCCAGCCUGGGCGACAGAGCAAGACUCUAUCUCAAAU
rnacentral:sRNA from 1 species